rnacentral:pre_miRNA from 1 species
AGGGUGAAGAGUUGCUCUCCAUUCAAAACAACGAAAUGGAGGUACCCUUUACUCUGA